GAUGAACGCUAGCGGCAGGCCUAAUACAUGCAAGUCGAGGGGUAACAGAGGAGCUUGCUCCUGCUGACGACCGGCGCACGGGUGAGUAACGCGUAUGCAACCUACCUAUAACAGAGGGAUAGCCCGUGGAAACGCGGAUUAAUACCUCAUAACAGUUGAAGAGGCAUCUCUUUAGCUUGAAAGUUUUUCGGUUAUAGAUGGGCAUGCGGAAGAUUAGCUAGUUGGUAAGGUAACGGCUUACCAAGGCGACGAUCUUUAGGGGUUCUGAGAGGAAGGUCCCCCACACUGGUACUGAGAUACGGACCAG
rnacentral:rRNA from 1 species